rnacentral:rRNA from 1 species
AUAACUUUUAACAACAGAUCUCUUAGUUCUAGCAUUAAUAAAGAACGCAGCGAAAUACAAUAAGUAGUGUAAAUUAUAGAAUUUAGUAAAUUAUUAAAUCUUUAAACGCACAUUGCGCCCCUUAGUAUUCUAUAGGGCAUGCCUGUUUAAGCGUUAUUUAUACCCUUAAGCUCUACUUAGUGUUAGGUAUUUAUUCUACUUAGGACUUGCCUUAAAAUAAUUAGUAGCUAGCAUAUUAGCCUAGAGCGCAGCACAUUUUGCGCCUCUUGUUAUAGUUAUUAGUAUCUAUUAAGACACUUUUUAAGCUCUUAACCUUAGAUUAGGUAGGGAUACCUGCUAAACUUAAGCAUAUUAAUAAGCAGAGGAAAAGAAACUAAUAGGGAUUGCCCUAGUAACGGCAAGUAAAGCGGCAAUAGCUUAAAUUUAAAAUCUAGCUCUUUUAGGGUCUAAGUUAUAAUUUGCAGAGGGCGCUUUAGCGUUAGCAGUGGUCUAAGUUCCUUAGAAUAGGACGUCACAGAGGGUAAGAAUCCUGUACGUAGUCGCUAGCCUUUGCCAUGUAAAGCCCCUUUAACAAGUUAAGUUAUUUAGGAAUAUAGCUCUAAAUAGGAGGUAAAUUUCUUCUAAAGCUAAAUACUAGCUAGAGACUAAUAGCGCACAAGUAGAGUAAUUAAAAGAUAAAAAGCACUUUAGAAAGAGAGUUAAAUAGCACGUAAAAUUGUUAAAAGGGAAGCGCUUGCAGCUAGACUUGCCUGUAGUUACUUAUCUAGGCUUUUGUCUAGUGCACUCUUCUAUAGGCAGGCUAGUAUUAGUUUAGGCAGUUAGAUAAAGGUCUCUGUUACGUACCUCCCUUUAGGGAGGCCUUAUAGGGGAGAUAAUAUGCAACUAGCCUAGACUAAGGUCUACGUAUCUACUAGGAUGCUAGCGUAAUAGCUAUAAGCGGCCUGUCUUAAAAUAUAGACUAAGGAGUCUAAUAUCUAUGUAAGUGUUUAGGUGUUAAGCCUAGACGCGUAAUAAAAGUAAACAGAGGUAGGACCCCUUUUAGGGUGCACUAUUAACUAAUCCUAAUAUCUUUAGAAGGAUUUAAGUAAGAGUAUAGCUAUUAGGACCUAAAAGAUAGUGAACUAUGCUUAAAUAGGGUAAAGCUAGAGGAAACUCUAGUAGAGGCUUAUAGUGGUUCUAACGUGCAAAUUAAUCGUUAAAUUUAGGUAUAGGGGCGAAAGACUAAUUAAACUAUCUAGUAGCUAGUUCCUGCUAAAGUUUCCCUUAGGAUAGCAGUAACGUAUUUAGUUUUAUAAGGUAAAGCAAAUAAUUAGAGGCCUAGGGGUUAAAACAACCUUUACCUAUUCUUAAACUUUAAAUAUAUAAGAAGUCCUUAUUACUUAAUUAAACGUGGACACUUAAAUAUACUGUUACUAGUAGGCUAUUUUUAGUAAGUAGAACUAGUGAUACAGGAUAAACUAAACGUAGGGUUAAGGUGCUAGAAUGCACGCUUAUUAGACACCACAAAAGGUGUUAGUUUAUCUAGAUAGCAGGAUAGUAGCUAUAAAAGUUAGAAUCUGCUAAGGAGUGUGUAAUAACUCACCUGCUAAAUAAACUAGCCCUAAAAAUAAAUAGCGCUUAAGCGUGUUACCUAUACCCCGCUGCUAGGGCAAGAUUUAAGCCCUAGCGAGUAGGCAGGCGUAGAGGCUUGUGACAAAGCCUUAGGGGUAACCCUAGGUAGAACAGCCUCUAGUGUAGAUCUUAGUAGUAGUAGCAAAUACUUAAAUAAGAACUUUAAGGACUAAAGUAGGGAAAGGUUCUGUGUAAACAGUAGUUAGACACAGGUUAGUUAAUCCUAAGAGAUAGGGUAAUUCUGUUUUAAUGUUAGCGCUUACGCCACGCCCUUAAAAGGGAAGCUAGUUAAUAUUCUAGCACCUAGAUAUAGAUUCUCUGCGGCAACGCAACUAACAGUAGAGACCUUAGCGGGAGCCCUAAGAAGAGUUCUCUUUUCUUCUUAAUAGUCUGUUACCCUAAAAUUAGUUUAUCUAGAGCUAGGGUUUAAUAGCUAGAAGAGCGCUGUACUUUUACAGUAUUUAGUGCGCUCCUAACAAGCCUUAAAAAUCUACUUAAAGAAAUAGUUUUUACGCUAGGUUAUACUUAUAACUGCAGCAGGUCUCUAAGGUAAAAAGCCUCUAGUUAAUAGAACAAUAUAGAUAAGGGAAGUUAGCAAAAUAGAUCUGUAACUUUAGGAAAAGGAUUAGCUCUAAGGGUUAGGUACGUUAGGCCUUAGGGAGAAGCCUCUAGCGCAGAAGGGCACUAACUGUAAGGUAGGCGCCUCUUAGCGCUAGGGUGCAGACACCCUUAGCAGGUUUUGGCCGUCUAGCGUACGUUUAACAACUAACUUAGAACUAGUAUAGAUAAGGGGAAUCUAACUGUCUAAUUAAAAUAUAGCAUUAUAAUAGCUAGAAAGUAGUAUUAACAUAAUAUAAUUUCUGCCUAGUGCUCUAAAUAUUAAAGCAAAGAGAUUUAACUAAGCGCGGGUAAACGGCGGGAGUAACUAUAACUCUCUUAAGGUAGCUAAAUGCCUUAUUAUCUAAUUAGUGACGCGCAUAAAUAGAUUAAUAAGAUUCCUACUAUCCCUAUCUACUAUCUAGCGAAACUAUAGCUAAGGGAACAGGCUUAGCUAAAUUAGUGGGGAAAGAAGACCCUAUUAAGCUUAACUCUAGUUUAACAUUAUAAAAAGAUAUAGGGGGUGUAGAAUAGGUAGGAGCUUUAGCGCUAGUAAAAUACUACUACCCUUAUCGUUUUUUUACUUAUUUAAUAAAGUGGAGCUAGGCCUUACUACCUAACUUCUAGCGUUUAAGGUCCUUUAUAGGCUAAUCUAGGUUAAAGAUAUUAUUAGGUAGGGAGUUUAGCUAGGGCGGCACAUCUAUUAAACUAUAACGCAGGUGUCCUAAGGGGGACUUAUAGAGAAUAGAAAUCUCUAGUAGAGUAAAAGGGCAAAAGUCCCCUUAAUUUUAAUUUUUAGUGUGAAUACAAACUAUAAAAGUGUAGCCUAUUAAUCCUUUAGUCCCUUGAAAUUUAAGGCUAGAGGUGCUAGAAAAGUUACUAUAGGGAUAACUGGCUUGUGGCAGCCAAGCGUUUAUAGCGACGUUGCUUUUUAAUCCUUUAAUAUUAGCUCUUCCUAUUAUACUAAAGCAGAAUUUAGUAAGCGUUAGAUUGUUUACCUACUAAUAGGGAACGUAAGCUAGGUUUAGACUAUUAUAAGAUAGGUUAGUUUUACCCUACUAAUAACCUUACCCUAAUAGUAAUACCGCUUAGUACAAGAGGAACUGCAGUUUUAGAUAAUUAGUUUUUGCGGCUAUCUAACUAGGUAUUGCCACAAAGCUACUAUCUACUAGAUUAUAGCUAAACGCCUCUAAGUUAGAAUCUAUGCUAGAACAGGGUAAUUUCUGCCUGCACUAGUUAGAUAUAAAUAGGCCUUUAGCCCAGAACCUUACUAGAUUAGCGUUAGCAGCCCUAUUAAAGUUAGAGUUGUUAGCAAGUGUAUUGCAAUUAUACAGUGCGUAGGAU